rnacentral:rRNA from 1 species
UACGGGGGGGGCAAGCGUUGUUCGGAAUUACUGGGCGUAAAGGGCGUGUAGGCGGCCAACUAAGUCGGAUGUGAAAUCCCCAGGCUUAACCUGGGAACUGCAUCCGAUACUGGAUGGCUUGAAUCCGGGAGAGGGAUGCAGAAUUCCAGGUGUAGCGGUGAAAUGCGUAGAUAUCUGGAGGAAUACCGGUGGCGAAGGCGGCAUCCUGGACCGGCAUUGACGCUGAUGAGCGAAAGCUAGGGGAGCAAACGGG